AUGAACGCUGGCGGCGUGCCUAAUACAUGCAAGUCGAACGAGUUCUCGUUGAUGAUCGGUGCUUGCACCGAGAUUCAACAUAGAACGAGUGGCGGACGGGUGAGUAACACGUGGGUAACCUGCCCUUAAGUGGGGGAUAACAUUUGGAAACAGAUGCUAAUACCGCAUAGAUCCAAGAACCGCAUGGUUCUUGGCUGAAAGAUGGCGUAAGCUAUCGCUUUUGGAUGGACCCGCGGCGUAUUAGCUAGUUGGUGAGGUAAUGGCUCACCAAGGCGAUGAUACGUAGCCGAACUGAGAGGUUGAUCGGCCACAUUGGGACUGAGACACGGCCCAAACUCCUACGGGAGGCAGCAGUAGGGAAUCUUCCACAAUGGACGCAAGUCUGAUGGAGCAACGCCGCGUGAGUGAAGAAGGCUUUCGGGUCGUAAAACUCUGUUGUUGGAGAAGAAUGGUCGGCAGAGUAACUGUUGUCGGCGUGACGGUAUCCAACCAGAAAGCCACGGCUAACUACGUGCCAGCAGCCGCGGUAAUACGUAGGUGGCAAGCGUUAUCCGGAUUUAUUGGGCGUAAAGCGAGCGCAGGCGGUUUUUUAAGUCUGAUGUGAAAGCCCUCGGCUUAACCGAGGAAGCGCAUCGGAAACUGGGAAACUUGAGUGCAGAAGAGGACAGUGGAACUCCAUGUGUAGCGGUGAAAUGCGUAGAUAUAUGGAAGAACACCAGUGGCGAAGGCGGCUGUCUGGUCUGUAACUGACGCUGAGGCUCGAAAGCAUGGGUAGCGAACAGGAUUAGAUACCCUGGUAGUCCAUGCCGUAAACGAUGAAUGCUAGGUGUUGGAGGGUUUCCGCCCUUCAGUGCCGCAGCUAACGCAUUAAGCAUUCCGCCUGGGGAGUACGACCGCAAGGUUGAAACUCAAAGGAAUUGACGGGGGCCCGCACAAGCGGUGGAGCAUGUGGUUUAAUUCGAAGCAACGCGAAGAACCUUACCAGGUCUUGACAUCUUUUGAUCACCUGAGAGAUCAGGUUUCCCCUUCGGGGGCAAAAUGACAGGUGGUGCAUGGUUGUCGUCAGCUCGUGUCGUGAGAUGUUGGGUUAAGUCCCGCAACGAGCGCAACCCUUAUGACUAGUUGCCAGCAUUUAGUUGGGCACUCUAGUAAGACUGCCGGUGACAAACCGGAGGAAGGUGGGGAUGACGUCAAAUCAUCAUGCCCCUUAUGACCUGGGCUACACACGUGCUACAAUGGAUGGUACAACGAGUUGCGAGACCGCGAGGUCAAGCUAAUCUCUUAAAGCCAUUCUCAGUUCGGACCGUAGGCUGCAACUCGCCUACACGAAGUCGGAAUCGCUAGUAAUCGCGGAUCAGCACGCCGCGGUGAAUACGUUCCCGGGCCUUGUACACACCGCCCGUCACACCAUGAGAGUUUGUAACACCCGAAGCCGGUGGCGUAACCCUUUUAGGGAGCGAGCCGUCUAAGGUGGGACAAAUGAUUAGGGUG
rnacentral:rRNA from 1 species